GUUCCGUAGGUGAACCUGCGGAAGGAUCAUUAUUGUAUAACCGAGGUGCGAGGGCUGUCGCUGACCCGAAAGGUCGUGCACGCCCGAGUGCCCUCACUCACAUCCAUCUCACCCCUAUGUGCACCACCGCGUGGGUCCCCCUUUGGCUUGUUCGGAGGGGGGCUUACGUUUUCACACAAACUUUGUAUGCAGUGUAGAAUGUAUUUUUUGUUUUUGCGAUCACGCAAUCAAUACAACUUUCAACAACGGAUCUCUUGGCUCUC
rnacentral:misc_RNA from 1 species